rnacentral:rRNA from 1 species
GACGAACGCUGGCGGCGUGCUUAACACAUGCAAGUCGAACGGAAAGACCCUGCUUUUGUGGGGUGCUCGAGUGGCGAACGGGUGAGUAACACGUCAGUAACCUGCCCUUUACUUUGCGUUAACUUCAGGAAACUGGGGCUAAUACCGGACAGGAGCUCCUGCUGCAAGGUUGGGGUUGGCAAGUUUCGGCGGUUGGGGAUGGACUCGCGGCUUAUCAGCUUGUUGGUGGGGUACUGUAUUACCAAGGCUUUGAGCCGUAGCCGGCCUGGAAGGGUGGCCGGACCGGUUGGAGUGGAGCUGCGGCCCAGACUCCUACGGGAGGCGGCAGUGGGGUAUGUAGUAUAGUAGAAGGAAGGCAGAUCCAGCGCCGCCGCGCGGGGGAAACGAGGCAUCGUUUUGUGACCUAAUUUCGUCUGUGACGAGGCGAGAAUGACGGUACUGGGUAAAGAAGCCCCGGCUAACUACGUG